GACUGUGAUGUUUAAGAAAAUCAACGCAGUUUUCCGUCCGAACCACCUUGGACCUCGCUCACGGGACCGGUUCAGGCCCAAUGAGGACUACCACAGCGCGUGCACCGUCAAACUGGUCCGGAGCACGUCGAUGCUCGUGGUGGGGGAGAGCAGUCGCGCGCCGCAGGACUCCACGCUGAAGCGGAGCGUGAGUGCCGUGAGUGUUGAGACCAGCACGGCCCUGUACUACUACCAGAGCCGAGAGGACCGCGUGUGGCUCUACUCCCAGAACCAGAACUGCUUAGAGUACUUACAGGAACUGGUCGCGCUCAGGCGGCAGUACACCAAGAGCAUCAACGACCUCAAGAACAGCGAGCGCAAAGAGACCGCGUCCCGCAAGAAGAACCCCGCACCCCGACCACCGCAAAACAGAGCUGCACAGACUUCAAGGCCUGAACCAUCUGCUCCACCAAUCCCAAAUGAGGAAGACACACUCCAGUUCUUUGAUGCAGUCAUUGCAAGCUGUGAUCCAGACCCCAGUCGAAAACCACAUGUGGACAGUGGGCAUGCAGAUGUAGACUUCAUAGUGGCAACCAGUACCAGCGAGCAUGACCUUCACUCUAACUGGGUGCUUCGGGAUCCUCGUCGAAUCUCCAUGACGGAGUCACAGCCCAAGAAUUCAGAUAUCAGUCACGGGCAGGCAGCCCAGCGGAAGGGGGACAUGGGAAGCACAGGCAGUAGGAGAUGUCUGCAACAAAACCCAAUCCACCUGCCAAAAGUUGUGGAGAGUGCCUUUCAGACUCUGCGCUUCAAACCCAAGCUCAAGAAGAAAGAAUAGCUGCUUAAGCUGUUCCGCCUGUUGUGCCCAGAGGACAACUAAAACUUCACAGCUGUGCGAUCAAGAAGUUGGAC
ensembl:lncRNA